rnacentral:lncRNA from 1 species
UUGUAAGCAGCCUGUGGGUGCUGGGAGUUGAACUUGGAUCCUGUACAAGAACAAGUGCUCUGAAACAACAAGUCAUCUCUCCAGUCCCUUCUCCUUUGAAUCCUGAGAUUUCCGAGAGCAAAAUCAGGUCCACGAUUUUGAGCCAAGUUUGAAUCAAGCUUUAAUUAAACAGUGGCCAGGAUGGUGGACUCUGGCCGUGUUUACUCCCAGGUCCUCAGGAACUGGUCACAAGUCACUUUUUGCAGAGGCUUAAUUAAAAAGGGCAGAACCACAAGGAUACCACAUUUCCCAUCAGGUCCAACCUGGGCCAAUUGGAUAUCCUGUCUCCUCCCUCCUAGAACCUCCGGCCAACACUCAUUCAGGAGCCCUCAGGCAUCUGGCAGGGUUCCUGUUUUGUCCCAGGAACUUGCAAAGUAUAUCCUUGUUCCUGUUUUGCUCUUAGACUUUCCUCCCUCCCUCCAAUUUUUUUUCACAAGUAUAAUGUAUACUCUGGUAACUAUUACUGCUUACAAAUUAUGUGAAAAAAGCAAUUUGUGGAGUACAUUAGCCAAUAUGUGGGAAAUAGACAAUUUCUCUAGAAAUCAAGAAAUAUGUAUACAGAUAUAUACUCUGCUUAUCUGAAAGCAUCCAGUCUGGAUAGGAACGUUAUUAUAUAUGAGCUGAACCUGUUGGAGGGCCAACGUUUAAUAUGUAACAAACACUUUAUGUUCUAAGAUUAUAAGAGAAUUUUAGUUUGGAGAAUCUAGGUGUAGGAGAUAAAAAUGAACCAUCAAAAGAAAUUUUCGCAUGAAAUUGUGCAGUAAGGACUUUCCAUUGCUUGCUGUGAGUUCUUUGGAGCUAAAAAACACUACAUGCACUAAACUGGGAACCGUUAAGUAACUAAGACAACUCCCAUGUAAUUAUUAAUGCACAGUUAUUUAAAAUUCUACCUAGGAAUGAUUUAUCAUGGGAUGGGGAAAUGCAUGUUUCCUAACAAGUAGGAAAUGGAAUAUAUUUCAUACACAUCAUGAUCAUAAGCAUUGUGGUGCACGCUUUCAAUCCCGGGCCAUGGAGGCAGAGGCAGGCAGAGCUCUGUGAGUUUGAGUUUAGCCUGAUACAGCAAGUUCCAGCCAGCCAGAGUUACACAUGAAACCUUGUCUCAACAGCAACAUAAAACUAAAACGAAUAUCCUGCCCCAACUAAGUCAAAAAAAGGUCAUCUGAAUAGUAAUAUUUUGGGAAAAAAUACACAAGAAGGCUGGGUGCUUGUUUGAGGUUCUGAAAAACCCAGCAAAAAAGAGGAGCACGGCAAAAAAAGAGAAGCACGGCAAGAAAGAGGAGUACGACAAGAAAGAGAAGCACGGCAAGAAAGAGGAGCACGGCAAGAAAGAGGAGCACGGCAAGAAAGAAGAGCACGGCAAGAAAGAAGAGCAUGGCAAGAAAGAGGAGCAUGGCAAGAAAGAGGAACACGGCAAGAAAGAGGAGCAUGGCAAGAAAGAGGAACACGGCAAGAAAGAGGAGCACGGCAAGAAAGAGGAGCACGGAAAAAAAAAAGCCAAUUGAACAAGGAGAGCUGAUGACUGUGGGUAAAUUUGUUUCACUGUUUCUCUGUGUUUAAAAAGUUUCCAUAGUGAGCAGGUGUUAUUUUACAAUGUUAAAAAGAGCAGAGUCUUGCAAGGCACAAGGAGUCCAUCUUGAGCAUCCCCCUGGAGUAAGACGUCCUGAUAAUCAGGCAGCUUCCACCUGAGCGCAUUCCACACUCCGCUGCUCUACGGGGCUGA